GGACUACCCGGGUAUCUAAUCCCGUUUGCUCCCCUGGCCUUCGUGCCUCAGCGUCAGUAACUGUCCAGAGAUUCGCCUUCGCCACUGGUCUUCCUUACGAUAUCUACGCAUUUCACUGCUACACCGUAAAUUCCAAUCUCCUCUCCAGUACUCUAGCAAGGCAGUAUCAAAUGCAGUUUCGGAGUUGAGCCCCGAGAUUUCACACCUGACUUGCCCCGCCGCCUACGCACCCUUUACGCCCAAUGAAUCCGAACAACGCUUGAGACCUCUGUAUUACCGCGGCUGCUGGCAC
rnacentral:rRNA from 1 species